rnacentral:rRNA from 1 species
UACGUAGGGUGCGAGCGUUAAUCGGAAUUACUGGGCGUAAAGGGUGCGUAGGCGGUUUGAUAAGUCUGAUGUGAAAUCCCCGGGCUCAACCUGGGAACGGCAUUGGAGACUGUCAAGCUAGAGUGCGUCAGAGGGGGGUAGAAUUCCACGUGUAGCAGUGAAAUGCGUAGAGAUGUGGAGGAAUACCGAUGGCGAAGGCAGCCCCCUGGGAUGACACUGACGCUGAGAAGCGAAAGCAUGGGGAGCGAACAGG